ensembl:lincRNA
AUGUGUGCCACCAUGCCUGGCUUGCUAUUUGACUUGUGCUCUAAGGCAGGGGGAGCAGAAGUUGGAGCAGAAAUCAGAGCAGAAGAAAGGCAUCCAGCUGCCUGCUGUGCCCCCUCACCCUGUCUCACUGCCCUGGAGCUUCAGAUGCCUAUAUCUAGGAGAGGUGCAUCGGGCAUGAAAAACAAGCAAAACCAUCCAUCCUGCCUUCUGCAUGUAAUGAUUCCCUUCCCUGCCCUUCCUGACCCUGAAUUCAGGCUCAACUGGACCGGGAGCCAUGGGCCAGGAAGCUUGGAAAAGCCUGAUGCUUAGUGUUUGGGUCAGUCCCUGAGAGCAAACCAGGGCCAAAGGCCAGUUCCUCCCUUCGCUCUUCAACCCAGGUCUCUGUUUAGUGCUGCCCUGUCCUUGGUGCUGUGGACAGUCAGGAACCAGCUCUGGUCAACGCUGCCCUGUGGCACAACGCAGCAGGGGAGAUACAAUACAGGCAUAACUGACCAACGCGCAGUCCAGCUCUAGAAGCGCAGAGCGGGAGGUGUGCUCUGCAGCUUGGUCUUGCGCCUCAUAGUAGGAGCUUUGCUCUUUUGGACUGAGCCCCUGCCUGGACCCUGUAGCUUUGCUCCAGCAUUGUGUGCAGACCAAUCACCUGGGAAUUUUGUUAAACUGCAGAAUCUAAUGACCCAGUGGGUCCGGGGUGGGGCCCGAAAUCCUGUACUUUUAACAAGUUUCCGAGCGACAUAGUUAUGUGGCCCGUGCUUUAGGGAAUCUAGGGCACUUAUCUCAUUUCUCUGAGCAGUGACAACUGGAUUAACGCCACCUCCCAAAUGGCCUGUAACUCUAUGAGGCAAGGGAUUUUGCCCAUUCACUGACGAAUCCCCAGUGCCUAGCACAACGCUUGGCACACAGGGCUCUCAUCCCCAGGAGCUGGGAACGAUCCUAAGCUAGCAGCACCACCACCACCCAAACGCAUUCACAUGAACAUGUGCACACACAUCCAUCCCAUCCCUACCGAGCUUGAGAUGUUUUUGACAUCUGAUUAGGCCUACUAUGUGCACAGCUAUGGCUUAUGCCUGCAUCAAUUUUUUUUUUUUUUUUUUUUUUUUGAUGUGGAGGUCUCACUAUGAAAUGCAUGCUGGCCUUGAACUCGAUGAUCCACCUGCUUCAUCCUCCCGAGUGCUCGGAUUACAGGCGUGCACCACCAGCGGAGGUUCAACACCAGGUGGCAUUCCAUGAUACAAAUUCACCAGCUGUCCCCCAAUUCACCACCAGCACACCAAGCCCCUUCUGUUUAAUUAAAUCAGCUUUAAUUAAAAAAUAAGAAUACCUUGGUGAGUCCUAUGUUUUCCAGAAGACUGGGCAGACAAGGGGUCCAGUGACACACCCCACACCCUGCUCAGUCAGGAGCUCCUGGUGUGCUCGUCUCCAAGAUCUAGAACUGUCCGCAGGGGCUGGCGAAGGGCAGCCAGUGAGGCUAUGCGGGAGGGGAGCUGAGGACAGCCUGUAAGUGCGGGUGGGUGGGGUGGGGACAAACGGGAAACGAAGGAAGACCGGCAGCGAAGUCUAAUCAGAAGUCUGAUCUCGAAUGUGCUGGCAAAACAGUAAAUGGGCAGCUGGAGACCGGAAGGAAGCACCUGGGCUGGGGGCUCUGCUGGUGGAGGUGUCGGGGACCACUGACAGCGCGGCGCGGGGCAAAGCGAGGGCUCCCGGGUAGAGGAAGGAGACACCAAGGGCUCGCAAACUGGGAGGGUCGCCUCGGUCCGACGGCGGCACGGGGAGGGCAGGGAGGGCUUCAGCAGGUGCGCGC